CCUACGGGAGGCAGCAGUGAGGAAUAUUGGUCAAUGGUCGCGAGACUGAACCAGCCAAGUCGCGUGAGGGAAGACGGUCCUGUGUAUUGUAAACCUCUUUUGUCGGGGAGCAAAAGCCGCCACGCGUGGCCUUCCGAGUGUACCCGAAGAAAAAGCAUCGGCUAACUCCGUGCCAGCAGCCGCGGUAAUACGGAGGAUGCGAGCGUUCUCCGGAUUUAUUGGGUUUAAAGGGUGCGCAGGCGGAAUAUCAAGUCAGCGGUAAAAUUCCGAGGCUCAACCCCUUCGAGCCGUUGAAACUGGUUGUCUUGAGUGAGUGAGAAGUAUGCGGAAUGCGUGGUGUAGCGGUGAAAUGCAUAGAUAUCGCGCAGAACUCCGAUUGCGAAGGCAGCAUACCGGCGCUAAACUGACGCUGAUGCACGAAAGUGUGGGUAUCGAACAGGAUUAGAUACCCUGGUAGUC
rnacentral:rRNA from 1 species